CUGGAACCCGGCACCAUGGACUCUGUCCUUUCCUGCCCCUUCGGUCAGAUCUUUCAGCCAGACAACUUCACGUUUGGCCAAUCUGGAGCUGGCAACAACUGGGCAAAGGGGCACUACAUGGAGUGCAUGGAGCUGGUGAACGCUGUCCUGGAUGUGGUCCAGAAGGAGGCCAAGAGCUGUGACUGCCUUCAAGGCUUCCAGCUGACCCACUCGCUGGGGGGUGGCAUGGGGUCUGGGAUGGGCACGCUGCUCAUCAGUAAGAUCUGCAAGGAGUUCCCAGACCACAUUAUGAACACUUCAGCGUGGUGCUCUCACCCAAAGUGUCAGACAUGGUGGUGGAGCCCUACAAUGCCACGCUGGCUGUCCAUGCACCAGCUGGUGGAGAAUAUGGGUGAGAUCUACUGCAUCAACAAUGAGGCACUCCAUGACAUCUGCUUCUGCACCCUCAAGCUGACCACCCCCACCUACAAGGACCUCAACCACCUGGUGUCGGCCACCACGAGCAGAGUCACCACCUGCCUGUGCUUCCCGGGCCAGCUGAACACCAGCCUGCACAAGCUGGCCAUCAACAUGGUCCCCUUUCCUCACCUGCACUUCUUCAUGCCCGGCUUCACACCCCUGACCAGCCGGGGCAGCCAGCAGUACCGGGCCCUGACAGUGCCUGAACUCACCCAGCAGAUGUUCGACACCAAGAACAUGAUGGCCAUGUGCAACCCGCACCACAACUACUACCUGACUGUGGCUGUCGUGUUCCGGGGCCGCGUGUCCAUGAAGGUGGACAAGCAGAUGCUGAGUGUGCAGAGCAAGAACAGCAGCUACUUCGUGGAGUGGAUCCCCAACAACUUGAAGACAGCCGUGUGCAACAUCCCGCCCGUGGCCUGAAGAUGGCUGCGAACUUCAUCGGCAGUAGCAUGGCCUUCCAGGAGCUGUUUAGCAGUUCAAAGCCAUGUUCUGGCCCAAGGCGUUCCUGCACUGGUACACAGGCGAGGGCAUGGAUGAGAUGGAGUUCACUGAGGCUGAGAGCAACAUGAAUGACCUGGUAUCUGAGUACCAGCAGUACCAGGACACCAUAGCCGAGGAGGGCAAGUUCGAGGAGGGGGCCGAGGAGAAGGUGGCCUAGGUUGCUCCCAUCGCUUCCCAUCUGUCCCCUCGAGGCUUCUGACCUUUGAUCCCUUAGGACCCUCCAUCUCUGACCCCUAGAGCCCUGCUUUCCCUCCAAGCCUGACUCACCCCUGACCCUAAGACUUUGCCCUGACCCUAACAAUACCUUUGGAGCUCGCUUUACCUCUGGCUACUUCAUCUCCGACCCUGACUCCCCUUUGAUCCUUGAGCCCUAAUUUAUCUUUGACUCCCUUGAGCUCUUCCAACCUUGACAUUCCCAGGAGGAGCCCCGCUUCACCCCUUCUGACUCCAGAAACCGCUCCUUUAACUUUAUGGGCCCUCCUUCACCCGGACCUCUGCUUCACCUUUGACCUCUGCCCCCCACGAAUCCCAUUUUACGUCUAGACCUAUAAGUCCUGGUUUACGUUUGACCCCUCCCUCUGAGCUGCCCUUCACCUCUGACCUUGCCUCACCUUUAACUCCCCACCUGAGCCCCAACUCCUACCUCUGACCCCAACUUCUCUUUCACCCAUGAAUCCCCUCUGAUCCCAACUUCUCUUUCACCCCCUAUGAACCCCAUUUUACCUCUACACCUGUAAGUCCUGGUUUACAUUGGACCCUUCCCUCCAAGCUGCAGUUCACCUUUGACCUUGCCUCACCUUUCACCCCCAC